GACGAACGCUGGCGGCGUGCCUAAUACAUGCAAGUUGAGCGCUGAAGGUUGGUACUUGUACCAACUGGAUGAGCAGCGAACGGGUGAGUAACGCGUGGGGAAUCUGCCUUUGAGCGGGGGACAACAUUUGGAAACGAAUGCUAAUACCGCAUAAAAACUUUAAACACAAGUUUUAAGUUUGAAAGAUGCAAUUGCAUCACUCAAAGAUGAUCCCGCGUUGUAUUAGCUAGUUGGUGAGGUAAAGGCUCACCAAGGCGAUGAUACAUAGCCGACCUGAGAGGGGGUCGGCCCCAUUUGGGAUUGGAAACCGGCCCAAACCCCUCGGGGGGGCACAAGAAGGGAAUUUUCGGAAAGGGACGAAAGUUUGACCGAGAAACGCCGGGGGAGUAAAAAAGGUUUUGGGAUCUUAAAACUCUGUUGGUAAAGAAGAACGUUGGGGGGAGGGGAAAGCUCAUCAAGGGGCGGGAACUACCCAGAAAGGGACGGCUAACUACGG
rnacentral:rRNA from 1 species